UUACGGCCACAUCACGUUGAAACACCGGUUACUGUACGAUCAAUGAAAAUAAGCAACGUUGAGCCUGGUCAGUAUCUAGAUGGGUGACAGCUUGCGAAUAACAGGUGCUGUAAG